AUGAACGCUAGCGACAGGCCUAACACAUGCAAGUCGAGGGGCAGCGGAGAGGUAGCAAUACCUUUGCCGGCGACCGGCGCACGGGUGAGUAACACGUAUGCAAUCCACCUGUAACAGGGGGAUAACCCGGAGAAAUCCGGACUAAUACCCCAUGAUAUGGGCUCUCCGCAUGGAGGGUUCAUUAAAGAGAGCAAUUUUGGUUACAGACGAGCAUGCGCUCCAUUAGCCAGUUGGCGGGGUAACGGCCCACCAAAGCGACGAUGGAUAGGGGUUCUGAGAGGAAGGUCCCCCACAUUGGAACUGAGACACGGUCCAAACUCCUACGGGAGGCAGCAGUGAGGAAUAUUGGUCAAUGGUCGGCAGACUGAACCAGCCAAGUCGCGUGAGGGAAGACGGCCCUACGGGUUGUAAACCUCUUUUGUCGGAGAGUAAAGUACGCUACGUGUAGCGUAUUGCAAGUAUCCGAAGAAAAAGCAUCGGCUAACUCCGUGCCAGCAGCCGCGGUAAUACGGAGGAUGCGAGCGUUAUCCGGAUUUAUUGGGUUUAAAGGGUGCGUAGGCGGCACGCCAAGUCAGCGGUGAAAUUUUCGGGCUCAACCCGGACUGUGCCGUUGAAACUGGCGAGCUAGAGUGCACAAGAGGCAGGCGGAAUGCGUGGUGUAGCGGUGAAAUGCAUAGAUAUCACGCAGAACCCCGAUUGCGAAGGCAGCCUGCUAGGGUGCGACAGACGCUGAGGCACGAAAGCGUGGGUAUCGAACAGGAUUAGAUACCCUGGUAGUCCACGCAGUAAACGAUGAAUACUAACUGUUUGCGAUACAAUGUAAGCGGUACAGCGAAAGCGUUAAGUAUUCCACCUGGGGAGUACGCCGGCAACGGUGAAACUCAAAGGAAUUGACGGGGGCCCGCACAAGCGGAGGAACAUGUGGUUUAAUUCGAUGCAACGCGAAGAACCUUACCUGAUCUUGACAUCCCGAUGACCGCUUCGUAAUGGAAGUUUUUCUUCGGAACAUCGGUGACAGGUGGUGCAUGGUUGUCGUCAGCUCGUGUCGUGAGAUGUUGGGUUAAGUCCCGCAACGAGCGCAACCCCUGUUCUUAGUUGCCAGCACGUAGAGGUGGGAACUCUAAGAAGACUGCCGGUGAUAAAUCGGAGGAAGGUGGGGACGACGUCAAAUCAUCAUGCCCUUUAUGUCUUGGGCUACACACGUACUACAAUGGCGUUAGACAAAGAGAAGCAAGACCGCGAGGUGGAGCAAAACUCAGAAACAACGUCCCAGUUCGGACUGCAGGCUGCAACUCGCCUGCACGAAGUCGGAAUUGCUAGUAAUCGUGGAUCAGCAUGCCACGGUGAAUACGUUCCCGGGCCUUGUACACACCGCCCGUCACACCAUGAGAGUUGGAAAUACCCGAAGCCUGUGAGCUAACUGAAAAGAGGCAGCAGUCGAAGGUAGAAUCAAUGAUUGGGGUG
rnacentral:rRNA from 1 species